UUGUAUUUAGGCAUCCUUGCAUUCCUGGAAUGAAUCCUACUUGGGGAUGGUGUAUAAUCGUUAUAUGCUUCCGAAUUCAUUUUGCUAGUGUUUUGUUGAAGAUUUUGGCUCAAAACUCGUAAGGGAUUUUGUAAUUUUCUUGUAGUGUCUUUGGCUUCAGUGUUAGGGUGAUGCAGGCCUUAUAUAAUGAGUUAUGAAGAGUUCCCUCUUUGGAAGAGUUCUGGAAGGAUAGGUGUUAAUUCUGUACACAUUUGGUGUAGGUUGUCAGUAAAACCGUCUGAUUUAGGACUCAUCUCGUUGGGAGGUUUUUGAUUGCUGAUUCAGUCUCCUUAGUCAUUACAGGUUUAUUUCCAUUUUCUUUUCGUGAUUCAGUUUUAGUAGAUUUAAUGUUCCUGAGGGUUUGUCCACCUCAUCUAAGCUCUCGAGUUUGUUGUUGUACACAGCUGUUCAUGGUACUCUCUUACAGUGUUGUUUAUUUCUGUAAAAUUGGGAGUAAUGCUUCCACUUUCAUUUCUCGUUUGAGUAAUGUGAGUCUCCUUUCUUUUCCUUAGUCAGCCUAGGCCAAGGUUUAUCAGUUUCGUUGAUCUUUUCAAAGAACCAGCUUUUGGUUUCAUUGCUUUAUCUCUUGUUUUUCUAUACUCUGUUUCAUUUAUCUCCUCUGUAAUUGUUAUUUACUUUCUGCUAGCUUUGGGUUUCAUUUACUUUUCCUUUCUUCAUUCCUUAAGGUGUCCAGUUAGGUUAUUGAUUCAAGAUCUUCCUUUAUUGUUACUAUUAGUGUUCACAGUUGUACAUUUCCCUCUGAGCACAACUUCCACUGCAUCCCUGAAGUUUCUGGUCUGUUGUGUUUAAAUUUUCAUUCAUCUCAAGGACAUCCCUCCAUAU